GUGCUCGUUUUGGCAACACAUCUACUAAAAUUGGAACAAUACAGUAAAGAAUAGCAUGGCACUUGCCCAAGGAUGACAUGUUGGUUCAUGUGAUCUGGCCGCUAAAAUU
ensembl:snRNA U6 U6 spliceosomal RNA